rnacentral:rRNA from 1 species
GAUGAACGCUGGCGGCGUGCCUAAUACAUGCAAGUCGAACGAAACUUCUUUAUCACCGAGUGCUUGCACUCACCGAUAAAGAGUUGAGUGGCGAACGGGUGAGUAACACGUGGGCAACCUGCCCAAAAGAGGGGGAUAACACUUGGAAACAGGUGCUAAUACCGCAUAACCAUAGUUACCGCAUGGUAACUAUGUAAAAGGUGGCUAUACUACCGCUUUUGGAUGGGCACGCGGCGCAUUAGCUAGUUGGUAGGGUAAAGGCUUACCAAGGCAAUGAUGCGUAGCCGAAUUGAGAGGUUGAUCGGCCACAUUGGGACUGAGACACGGCCCAAACUCCUACGGGAGGCAGCAGUAGGGAAUCUUCCACAAUGGGCGAAAGCCUGAUGGAGCAACGCCGCGUGGGUGAAGAAGGUCUUCGGAUCGUAAAACCCUGUUGUUAGAGAAGAAAGUGCGUGAGAGUAACUGUUCACGUUUCGACGGUAUCUAACCGGAAAGCCACGGCUAACUACGUG